rnacentral:lncRNA from 1 species
GGACCGGCACCGCGCGUGCGUAGAGCUGUCAGCCGCACCCAGGCCGCGCUUCUAGCAAAGUUGCAAAGCAACGGGCAGACCUGUCAGAACGGUGAAGAUCCCGGCGAUGGAAAAAAGGCGAAACUGCUCCGCGUAGGCUGCUCGGAGUGGCAUCGCACCUUGUUCGAGUCCGAAGAAGUUCCCGCUUCUCUAAGCCGGCUGAAGGGAUGCGAGUCUCCUCUUGUCCCAACGGGACUGUGUCCUGACACAGAGUGGACUCCGCCCCAAGAGUGCGAGCGUCCUGAGCGUUCAGGGCAUCCUGAGCCGCGGAAGGCAUCCGGCCACACCCCGCUCUUUACCCGCCAACGCCAGCCCAGGUGGCCAGGCUCAGAAUGGACUGUGAGCCUGUGUGUUAUGCAUCUCUGGUUGUAGAGACAAAAGGACAAAGAUGGAACCCACCAAGGAUGCUCCCGGCUGAAUGAAUUGUUGUUCUCUGGCUUACACAAAGUCAAGCGAAUGAUCGUCCCAUGUUAUGUAAUAUAGCAACGGCCUGCUUACCUUACUCCUUUAAUCUACGUUAUUCUGGAAAGUAACACUUGAAAUAAAAAGUAGAUACAUUCUACUGGGAAUGUGACCCUCAGAGAAGGAAAGAAAGACCGAGGGGUUGAACCUGAACACGUGAAAGAGAAUCCAAGUAUGCAUCCAGGCCUAUUCUGCCCUUGGACCACAUUGUACGUUUAGUGUUUCGGAAGAGAGAAAUCAUCAAAGGCGCACCCAAAGAAACAUCCGAAUGAAAGCUCAGUGGCGUUUGCUUUUCCCAAGGACCGGCAUCAUGGUUUCAGAGUUAACACACUGGAGAAAUACCUAGCCCUCCAUGUCACUCCCUACAUCCUCAACACUCACUCAGAGAGGGGCAUUGAAGAAAGGAUCACCAGUGAGUAGUACUUCUCAAAGAGAAAGCAGAAGAGUUUAUUGCUGCUGAAAGUCUCUGAAUAAAUCCAUGCGCCAAAUCACAACCCGAAAAAGCUCCAGAAAGGAUGCACAUGGUCUAAAAAAUGGAGAGACUGGUGUCCUAUGCCCUGUCUUGUUACCCUGAGACAUGAUGUUGGGUAGAGUUGGUCUAGGUACAAUAUUAUUGAAUUUGCAGGUGCCUAAGUAUAGGGGUCUCACACUGCCAUAUACAGUCAUUAUAGUGUCGGGAGACAAGAAAAUCUUUUUUCGGUGCAUCUGAGAACAUUGGAAAAAUAAUUGCAAUGGCCUGCAGACCUUAGGGACUUUUUGGAGAAAUACAGUGUGACCUCUGAAAAUGCUUUAGAUUCUGUCAAAUAUCAAGAUGCAGAUCCAUAUCAGUGAUUACCAAAAAGGCCAGUAUUCAUUGUUCUUGAAGCUAGUCACAGAUAGACACCAAUCAAGAGUCAAAUGCUGUAUCCUCUAACCAUUUAGAGCUUGGAUGCAGCCCUGAGUAUAAAGGAAGUACUGUGGACCCCUUCACCACACAAAGGUCAUAUGUUCAAAUCUCACCCCUCCCAAAGGUGAUGAUAUUAGGGGGCUGGGACUUCCAGGAGUGAACAGAACAUAUUCCCUUAUUAAAAAGGCUCAAGGGAGCUCACUUACCCUUCUGUCAAGUGACAACAGACAGCUGCUGUGAGUAAUUAAGUGUGUUCUAGCCACAGACCCUGCCAGUGCCUUGAUCUUGAAUUUUCUAGCCUGCAGAAGUAUGAGAUGUUUCUGUUAUGUAUAAUUUACUCAAUAUAUAGUAGGUGUUCUGUUAGCUUAUUUUAAAAUGCAAUGCCUGUAUUUAUCUUGAAAAUAAAGGACUUUAGGAGUGUGUGUGUGUGUGUGUGUGUGUGUGUGUGUGUGUGUGUGUGUGUGUGUUCACAUACAUAGCAUAGACAAUAUGUAAGAACUGUGUUCAGUUAUGGAAAAAAUAAAGCCACUUUGCCAUACACC